AUGUACAAUAUAUGGUCAACUUAUUUUGCAGGAUUUGAAGCUCCGAAUCUAAGAAAACUCGGAGACAAGGUUGCAGCAGCUGCAGGAUACUAUGUAGUGCUUCCUGAUUUUUUAUACGGAUAUCCUCUUACUUCUGAGAAUGCUAACAGACCUCUACCUGUUUGGCUAAAAGAUCAUCAACCUAAUGAAGCUUUUGAAGAUGCAAAACCAGUAAUUGAAGCUUUAAAAUCAAAGGUAUUUUGUCUAUAG